AACGAACGCUGGCGGCAGGCUUAACACAUGCAAGUCGAGCGCCCCGCAAGGGGAGCGGCAGACGGGUGAGUAACGCGUGGGAAUCUACCCAUCUCUACGGAAUAACGCAUGGAAACGUGUGCUAAUACCGUAUACGUCCUUCGGGAGAAAGAUUUAUCGGAGAUGGAUGAGCCCGCGUUGGAUUAGCUAGUUGGUGGGGUAAAGGCCUACCAAGGCGACGAUCCAUAGCUGGUCUGAGAGGAUGAUCAGCCACACUGGGACUGAGACACGGCCCAGACUCCUACGGGAGGCAGCAGUGGGGAAUAUUGGACAAUGGGCACAAGCCUGAUCCAGCCAUGCCGCGUGAGUGAUGGAGGCCCUAGGGUUGUAAAGCUCUUUCACCGGUGAAGAUAAUGACGGUAACCGGAGAAGAAGCCCCGGCUAACUUCGUGCCAGCCGCCGCAGUAAGAC
rnacentral:rRNA from 1 species